rnacentral:rRNA from 1 species
GUAGGUGAACCUGCGGAAGGAUCAUUUAAAAUUCAUAAAUGUUCUUCUUGAAUUAAUGUUCGAAAAGGAAGGAAACUUCUUUUUUAUGUAUGCCUAUUUUUUAGGUUUUUAUUCGUUAUUCAACAUACUAAAUAUCUUAAAUUUUCAACGAUGGAUAUCUAGGCUCCUAUAACGAUGAAGAACGCAGCGAAAUGCGAUACGCAAUGCGAAUUGCAGAACCGCGAGUCAUCAGAUUUUUGAACGCAAGUGGCGGUGGUUUAGGCCAUCAUGUUUGUUUCAGUGUGUUCGGUUAAUUGCAUCAUAGAAUUAAAUGUGACUGAAGAAAUUCUUUCACUUAAUACGAAGUAGUGUCAACCAAGACAUUAGACGAGUAGGCAACAAUUUGUUGACAACGUUUAAGUGUUGAAAGUUGUAAAAACCAUUACUUGAUAGCAUACCUAUCCAACAUUAACACCUGAAAUGAGCAAGAAUACCCGCUGAACUUAAGCAUAUCAG